GAUGCAGGGCACGGAGCCAGCUCGCUUGGGUCCCCUGGUGGUCGCUCUGCUCACUACUGCAGGAUUAUCCUGCAUGUUCAGAUCUGCCGUGUUUCAGCGGUGUCCUGCGGUGGGGACGGCAGGAGGUCAAAGCUGCCUGAGUCACGCUCGUUAAUGAGAACGUGAGUAAACUGGAGACGGGUCGGGGCACUCUGCUAGUCUUCAUCACAAGCCGUGAGCUUCAGCAUGCGCUGCAGAACCUCUGCUGCUCGGUUCCGUCUGCUGCAGCAGCGAGGCGUUCACUGACCACAAAGGAGAGUUCGCUCACGGCUUUCAGCUAACCCCAUUCCUCAGAAAGGAUUUCUCUCCACUAAGUCCUUCAUUGCAGGAACUGCUUCACAUUCCAGUAGUUAAAGUCCCUUCAGGACCAGCAGGAACCAGUAGAACCAGCAAAGCGUCUCCUGCUUUAACUGUGCAGGGACGGACCUGAUCACCAGCAGCGGCCGCUGGUUCAUCCUGCUGGAGACGUUCUCCUCCCAGUUCAUACUGGGGAACAUAGCAGCACCUGGUCCCGUCUGUCCACCCCUUCAGGCCACAUCUGGUCAUCAGCAACCUCUGCUUGUACUCCAGAGAAACAGGCCCACAGCAUCAUACGUCCUCCACCAAACCUGCCAGAGGACAUGAGGGGACCUGCUGACCCGCCUGGAGGGUCACUUACUGAUCUGAUGACAUCAGUUCCUGUCCCAGGGAGCUUAUGUUUGUGAUGGUAGGACAGGAAGCAGAUGCAGGCAGUUUUGUCAUGGUCGUCAUGGUGAUGCCACCCUUUGAUUGUCUCUGUUGUCACCCAGGGAAUCGACUUCAGUCCAGCCUGGACGUAGACCUCUGUGUCACAUCACUGGCCUACUUAAAGCCCAGCAGGAGCGGAAAUCACAGAUUCAUAAUUUAAGAUUCUAGACACUGACCAAAUUACAAAUAUAUUGUAGAAAUUAGAAUGAAAUCCUCAGCUGCUUUAUUGUGGACUAUUAGAUAUGAAGCUGUUCACUAAAUUAAUGGAACAAUAAAAGAUGGAGAAUCAUUUUCGUCUUUGGUUCUUGAUAAGCAAGAGAUGAACUUCAAUAAAGAUAAAACAAUAACAGCCACGUGAUUAUGCAAUAUUGGAGGUUUUUAGUGACUGUUGAAAAUAAAACAAACUUUUCUCAUUAUUUUGACAUUUAGCAUAAAUAAUUUAGUUCAGCUGAUUUAGAGUCAAAUGGAGAGAAAAUAGGUUCCAAAUGGCUGCAGUAGAACAUGAACCCAGUAGGUUCAGUGCUGAAUGAGCUGGUAGAACCAGAACCAGCAGGUACUGGCUGAACCAGCAGGAACCAGUACCAGUCCAGUAAAGCCUCACAUGGCCAUAAAGUAAAAU